UCAAAUGAAAUGAAAGCAAUACCGAUGGAUGGGGACAUAAAAGCCAAUUUCACAGUAUGCCAAGUGAUUUAUUGAGACAGAGAGCUCACCUCCACUAUGGUCCUCCGCCCCUCGGAUUCCCUCAUCUAUGGUGCUAUGCCAUGUAGAGCGGCAGCUUUUAUUUAUCGCUAAACUAAUAAAUCUUGGCAUAAAAAUGGAAAAUAUUGUGUACGCCAUGUUGUGCCGAGUCCCGAAUCGACGGCUAGCAAAAAAAUAAUAAUAAUAGAGGCCAUAGUCCAAGCAAAAACUCAUAAGUGGCAGCGGUUUAAGCAUUGGCCACAAAAAACUUAUACACAUAUAAAUUUCAUAUUAAAUAAUGGUUUAAUGAUUUUAUUUGUUUACUCGUUUCCGGCAUCCAAACAAUUAACUCUAACGAACUGCAAACUACGGGAAAUAAAAACAAAAUAAUAAUGCUAAAAAAAUUCACAGACACGCUGCGUGUCAAAGUACAAUGGGCCUUCGAGUUUUAAUUGCCAAAGCGUGGACAGGCGAGUUUUCGAGCUGGUAUUUCCACAGGAUUUGUGUGGAAGUCAGCGACAGGAGCAGCACAAAAUUUGGGUUUAAUGGCAUUGCGUGAGUUUAGCGCAUUAGGGAAGAAAUGCAGAGGAAAAAAUAACAAGAGCAGAUCGCACACCAUAUGCUUCGCGUUAAUAGUGCUGUAAAUAUGAGGCAUUAAUGCGAAUAUAUGUGGCGCCCGCUGGGUGGCCUCUGACUUGAAUCAGUCGUGAGGCAUAAGCGCACAUCCGUAUUAAUGUCUGAAUCGAUUCGUCCGCCAGUCUCCGGCGCUCCAGCAAUUCCCGCAUAUGUGUGAGAGUGAGUGUGGGCUCGAGGGAUGCUUCACUUGGCCGGCGUUAUGUUAAUUGAGCCUGAUUGACCCGUUCGAGCAACUGAUGGAAUCGUUAAACCCAAAUAUAAUGUAACAAAAGAUAAAGCUUGAUAAGAGUUCACCUGUACCUUUUGUUUUUGAUAACAAAACAUUUAAUAUCUUUCAAAUUGUUACAUUUAGAAAUUUUUUUAAGCGAUAAGUUCGAAAGCAUGUUGAAAUGAACAACUACGUAUGAAAGAAAAUAUAAUUUUUGACUUAUUAAUAAUAAUUGCAGUCCAUUCUUGCAGAACGCCUAAUUCGGUUGUUAUUUGCUUAAGCAUUUCAUAAGUAAACCAUGCAAAACAAUUUCAAGAAAAUUCCGUAAACAAUUAAGAGCUGUCGAGAAAAUUCCUUAAUUUAAUGAAGACGUUCUGGCACGCCAUCAGAACUAAAACAGAUGGCCGGACCAGGAUACCAUUUAAGCUUAACCACCUAAUGAAAGACAUCUGGCUGGUGACCACAAAUGGCCAAGCUCCAAGAUGCAUUAACCAAAGGAUGUGUUCAGGCAUUUCCAAGUGAGCGCCACGCGGCGUAUGCGUAAUGCUACACCCAAAAGUCGGCUAAAAACAUCUGCCUUUUCCCCCUUUAGCAGUGCGAUGUGUCAAAAGACAGAACAAGAACCGCAGGUGCGGUAUUCCCUGCUCUCUGGCUUUUUGUAUUUGUAUGUUUUUUGUUCAGUGGGUGGGGGUAUGGGGACGUAGUGGGCGGUUCAAGCGCUUUUGCAUACUGUAACUGUACGAGUAACAACAUGCACACGGGGCAAACAUUUUUGUAAACACAGUUUACAGUGCGGUUAACAAAUAUUCAUGGCGCACAUGGCGUAUGAGUGUUGCCCUCGUGGCACUUGAUAAAACGCGAACACUUUGGUCCACGGGGAGGCGGUUCGUGGUGGAAAACAGCAAAAAGCCAGCAGAAAGUUGAUGGAGGUGAGUUGUGGGUGGUGACCGGGUAAUGAGACAAACAAAAUAUAAAGGAAUGCCUGAAACACUUCAUUAUACUUUCUAAUUUCCCUUUUAUCGUUGCUGGCUUGCAUCUUUUUACGACAUUUAUAAUGGUUGAUUGAGUUCAAAAAUCUCCUAGUCAUUUUUGUAAAUCUCUUCGUAAGCAGUAGUUCUAAAACUAAUAACUAUAGCAUACAUAAAAAUCUUUCGUUUUUGUGAAAUAUGCUGUGUAUAGUAAAAACUGAUCACACACUCAUAUAAGAUCGCCAUGCAGUACAAUAAUAUAGCUUUAACAUACAAAAGGUAAUCAAAUUAUUAUCACACAUUCAUAUAAAAUAAAAGCUAAUCCCAGGAAAAGCAUUGUACCUGGAAAUAAAAUUACCUUGACCAAAAAAUCCACCAUUAUCCCCGAGGCCAGUUCCAUACAGUCACUGCAGUGUCGACCAAAAUUAAUUGCUCAUGUGUGAAUGUUCUGAAAUUACUGAGAAUCGUUAAACUUGCUUAAGCCGGGUAAUGAGAUAUCAUUCCGAUGUCAUAAGCUGGACUCUUCCUGGCCGGAUAUAAGCCGCCAAACAGAAAGGGCCGGGCUGAAAUGCUUAAGCACGAGUGGAGCUUAACGCAUUUUUACAACACAUACACACAGUCAGUUGCUCUCAUACACACACAGAAAACGAAGGGCAGGACAUUCAGGCAGACAGUGAAAAAUAUGACACCCUAUUUCCGUUUCCCGUACGCUGACAAUAAUGGCAGACAAUAUGGCGCAGCUUACGCUCAAAAGUGAUUGCCACACCAGCCGACAGCUAACCAAAGUUUCGUUGAAUGUAAAAACAAAAAAGCCGCUCUCGCACACACACACAGAGGCAGAAAAGCUGGCAAAAGAUUAUAUGUCUGGGAUUUUUGGGGUAAUUUAAGCGGCUUUUUGCCAGGAACCAAAAAGAAAAUCCCGAAAAAAAUUAUGUGUGUGUGUGUAUGUAAAGGCGCUGCCUAACCCUCUGCAAGUUUUAAAUUAAUUUUCAUUAAAUGUGGCGCACACGAAAUUGUUUUAAAGUGAUUAUGGCCGUGGAAAAUUAUGCUCCUAAUAGAGGAGAGCAGAAGGGGAUGAAAACGGGCGCCUAAAAGCAGGCCACGGCUGUUGACAAUGAUGGCGCAUUUAACGGUAUUAGGCAGGAUUUCGCUGUGUGUGUCUGUGUGUGCGCUUGUGUCCUGAAAACAGGGGAUAACAGAAAGAGAGAGAGAGAGGGAUACGGAGAGAGAUAGAGAAUAUAGAGUGUCCCCGGCUUACCCAAUCAAUAUGAAUUGCAUUAUUGUCAUCCCUUUUUUAAUAAAUAUCUUUUUAAUUAUGCAUAAAUUAUAAUUAACUACUCGGGUCGGCCACUACUGCCAGAUCGUCGGCAGUCGAAUGACAGUCACUGCAUAAUAAAUGCCUGGCGCACAUAAUUAGUGUUAAUUAUUGAAUUAAUGCACUCGCCAUUGUAAUUUCAUAUCCACGAGAUGCACUCGCCCCCAUCCACGCCCUUUAUCGCUGCUAUGCCCGGCAUAUUUCAGCUUACUUUUUAAAUUACCCGUUAUUAUAUAUAACGCAUUUUCCAUGCAACAUAUUGUUUUAAUUAUGCCUUUAAGUGAUUUACAUUGAUAUUUUGCGCUCAAGUGGAUUUCACGAGAAUGCGUAAAAAAUAUCAAAGACUAAUGAGCAGCACUUCAGGCUGAAUAGAAAUGUGUUAAAUGAAUUGAUUACUCACACAAGUACUUCAGUUGGCUUAAUUAUUGAGAGAGCAGAAAUUAAAUAAAAUCAUUUUAUUGUGAACACAAAUAAGGAAUGAGAAACAUUUGUCGUUUUC